GAUGAACGCUAGCUACAGGCUUAACACAUGCAAGUCGAGGGGCAGCAUUUUAGUUUGCUUGCAAACUGAAGAUGGCGACCGGCGCACGGGUGAGUAACACGUAUCCAACCUGCCGAUAACUCCGGGAUAGCCUUUCGAAAGAAAGAUUAAUACCGGAUAGUAUACGAAUAUCGCAUGAUAUUUUUAUUAAAGAAUUUCGGUUAUCGAUGGGGAUGCGUUCCAUUAGUUUGUUGGCGGGGUAACGGCCCACCAAGACUACGAUGGAUAGGGGUUCUGAGAGGAAGGUCCCCCCACAUUGGAACUGAGACACGGUCCAAACUCCUACGGGAGGCAGCAGUGAGGAAUAUUGGUCAAUGGGGCGCGAGCCCUGAACCAGCCAAGUAGCGUGAAGGAUGAAGGCUCUAUGGGUCGUAAACUGCUUUUAUAAGGGAAUAAAGUGAGUCUCGUGAGACUUUUUGCAUGUACCUUAUGAAUAAGGACCGGCUAAUUCCGUGCCAGCAGCCGC
rnacentral:rRNA from 1 species